UACAGAGGGUGCGAGCGUUAAUCGGAUUUACUGGGCGUAAAGGGCGCGUAGGCGGUUGUGUGAGUGUGGUGUGAAAGCCCCGGGCUUAACCUGGGAAGUGCAUCGCAAACGACACAACUGGAGUAUGAGAGAGGGUAGCGGAAUUUCCGGUGUAGCGGUGAAAUGCGUAGAGAUCGGAAGGAACGUCAAUGGCGAAGGCAGCUACCUGGCUCAAUACUGACGCUGAGGCGCGAAAGCGUGGGGAUCAAACAGG
rnacentral:rRNA from 1 species